rnacentral:rRNA from 1 species
UACGGAGGGUGCAAGCGUUACUCGGAAUCACUGGGCGUAAAGGAUGCGUAGGCUGGAGAUCAAGUCAGGAGUGAAAUCCAACGGCUCAACCGGUGAACUGCUUCUGAAACUGGUCACCUAGAAUAUGGGAGAGGUAGAUGGAAUUAGCGGUGUAGGGGUAAAAUCCGUAGAUAUCACGAGGAAUACCGAUUGCGAAGGCGAUCUACUGGACCAUUAUUGACGCUGAGGCAUGAAAGCGUGGGGAGCAAACAGG